GCUUCCGGGCACAGGAGAGACUGCUGCUGCUGCUGCUUACUAACUUCAGCCUUGUGCUGCUUAACACAGCAAGUGAAGUCUCUCUCUCCGUCCCUCCCACGGAUUUUGGAGCCCCCGCUGCUACAACUACGGUCCCUGAGGAAGCCGCCAGAGGCUCACGCUAACCGGAGCCGUCACCAUGAUGAAGAUAGGAAGCGCUGCGUCGGCUGUGUACAGUGGCAUUGCCAUGGGAACGGGUGGAACGCAGGGCUGACUUCCGCCAACAGGUAGAACUCACGGACCAGAAGUGGGGUUGAGCACUGUGGAAGCGCCCGGGGCUGCUGUCUCUGGCGGGAGCCUCACAAGCACAUUGUGGUGAGGUAUUUAGAGGGAUCCACACAGCUGAUUUGCCUACUCGGACUACAGAGGAGAGAGCUGCCACCCUUAUAAAUAACGGAGAAGAGCGUUUUGGACUACAGUGUAUGAACUGCUACUGUCUCACGUACAUUUUGGAUUUUUACCACUUUAUUGAUUUUUUUUAUUGUGUAUAUUGGAUAUAGUGCCACUGUCCUAGAGUAUUCUUUUAAUGUAUAUAGAUAUAUCUUAGCUAUAAAUAUUCACCCUUGGGUCACUUGUGUUAUAGUGCCCUGUAGUGGUUCCUAUUUGAUGCUCAUAAAGGUGUCUUGCCAAAGAUCUGAUUGGGAUUGAAACGUCGACAUAUUCAUUGUGAUAC